rnacentral:rRNA from 1 species
UACGAAGGGGGCUAGCGUUGCUCGGAAUCACUGGGCGUAAAGCGCACGUAGGCGGAUUGUUAAGUCAGGGGUGAAAUCCUGGAGCUCAACUCCAGAACUGCCUUUGAUACUGAGGAUCUUGAGUUCGGGAGAGGUGAGUGGAACUGCGAGUGUAGAGGUGAAAAUUCGUAGAUAUUCGCAAGAACACCAGUGGCGAAGGCGGCUCACUGGCCCGAUACUGACGCUGAGGCACGAAAGCGUGGGGAGCAAACAGGG